rnacentral:rRNA from 1 species
CAGUAGCCGCGGGAAUACGAAGGGGGCUAGCGUUGCUCGGAAUUACUGGGCGUAAAGGGCGCGUAGGCGGCGCUCCAAGUUAGGCGUGAAAUUCCCGGGCUCAACCUGGGGACUGCGCUUAAGACUGGAGUGCUUGAGGAUGGAAGAGGGUUGUGGAAUUCCCAGUGUAGAGGUGAAAUUCGUAGAUAUUGGGGAGAACACCGGUGGCGAAGGCGGCAACCUGGUCCAUUACUGACGCUGAGGCGCGAUAGCGUGGGGAGCAAACAGGAUUAGAUACCCCAGUAGUCCCUGUCUCUUAUAA